rnacentral:piRNA from 1 species
UAAGCGUUACACUCUGGAUUCCUGGACAUC